rfam:Planctomycetes bacterium RIFCSPLOWO2_12_38_17 rifcsplowo2_12_sub10_scaffold_2919, whole genome shotgun sequence.
GGGCGAUUAGCUCAGUUGGCUAGAGCGCUUGCUCGACAAGCAAGAGGCCACUGGUUCGAGUCCAGUAUCGCCCA